rnacentral:lncRNA from 1 species
AAAAGUAACGAUAGUAGUAUUAAUAAUUUAACGGCAAGGAUGUUUCGAGUCAUUUAAAAAAGAAUAUAAAGAAUAAAUGAUCACUAAUCUUAAAAUAUAAGGACUAAAUGAACUUUUACCCAUUAAAAUAAAUAAGAUCAUUUCUCGCAAGAUAUGCCCUAUCAUACGGAGAGAUCCAAGCGUUUUAGGAGCAAAUACAUAAAAACUUUCACGAAGUCGUGCACAGUGAACAUAGUGGUGUAGGUCCUAAUAAUUUAUCAUGGACUUAGUAUUUGACUGAUUAUAACUAGUGAUGAUCUAUGUGAUCUGCCCAAAAUGCCAUUCACGUGAAUCGUAUAUGUCCAGUUUAUUCAUUGAGACCAAAGUUGAUUAAUCAAUUGAUAGCCCCACCUAUAAGUCAACAUUUAAAUAUUUCACAACGAAAGGUGCCAAAAAAAAAAAUAUUGCGGUGGGAUUAGUCUUUUUUGUCACUAGUGUAUUGUCGUUUUGUCGAUUCUUCAAAUAAUUAAGAAAAGAGAAAAUUAUGUUUUAUUCUUAAUAGAUGUUAUAUUUAUUAUUUACUUUUUUAUUAACUUUUUAAUUAUGUAUUUCACCCCUUUAUUAAGAGAUAACAUAAUUAAUCAUGAAAAUAAUAGCAAAACAGUGAGAUCAUAAUUUUUCAUUUGCAAAAAGGAAAAAAAAAAAAAGAUCCUCAGAAUAAUUUGGCAAUACAAAUUGUCGGAGUAUAUGCAAUUGAUUUUUGCAACUUUAGCGAUUCCAAGCGUUACCUCGAAGAUUUGCCACGUUUUAUUAUUAUUAUUAUUUUAUUUUUCUUUUGUGGGAAACUCGCUUGAUAUUUCUUGCGAUGAAAUAGUCUAAGUGUCUGUUUGGUAUGACUUAUUUAAAAGUCAUAAGUGCUUAUUUAAUCGUAUAAGUACUUUUUAAAAUUUUUUAUGG